CGCCUCUUGCUAACAAAGGAAGUACUAGAGGUCCCGCCUGCCCUGUGACCACAAAGUUUAACGGCCGCGGUAUCCUGACCGUGCGAAGGUAGCGUAAUCAUUUGUCUUUUAAAUAGAGACCUGUAUGAAUGGCAUAACGAGGGUUUAACUGUCUCCUUCCCCUAGUCAAUGAAAUUGAUCUGCCCGUGCAGAAGCGGACAUAAACACAUAAGACGAGAAGACCCUAUGGAGCUUUAGACAAAAGAUCAAACAUGUAAAGAAACCAAACCAACCAAAAGGAACACGAAGGCCACAAAACCCAACGUAAACUGAUCUAAAUGUCUUCGGUUGGGGCGACCAUGGGGGAAAGAAAAGCCCCCACGAGGAACAGGGACAACCCCUAAACUAAGAGAGACACCUCUAAGCAACAGAAAAUCUGACCAAAAUGACC
rnacentral:rRNA from 1 species